rnacentral:rRNA from 1 species
ACGUAGGCAGCGAGCGUUGUUCGGAGUUACUGGGCGUAAAGAGUAUGUAGGCGGUUGCGUAAGUUUGGUGUGAAAUCUCCCGGCUUAACUGGGAGGGUGCGCCGAAAACUGCGUGGCUAGAGUGUGGGAGAGGAAAGCGGAAUCCCUGGUGUAGCGGUGAAAUGCGUAGAUAUCAGGAGGAACACCGGCGGUGUAGACGGCUUUCUGGACCAUUACUGACGCUGAGAUACGAAAGCGUGGGUAGCAAACAG